rnacentral:lncRNA from 1 species
AUGUAUUGGAUCAUAGGAUAUACCUGUCAGUGUGUCACGCCAGCGCUGAACACUGCUCCUGCCAAACCCUCUCCGAUCACAAUUCACCAAGCAUCACAAUCUCACCUGAAAUUCUAUUUACCGUCACCUGUCACUCCGCUACAUAAACUCUUCACUCCCUUGUCUGGCCUCGCUGUAAAAAAAGGACUAAUAUUUACGAAGCAACAAGUUCCUGACUCUACCGUCUCCCGCGAUCGCCCCAGCUCCAUUCUCCGACUUCCAGCCUUUUCGCAACGUCAAGACCACCAAGGAACAUCAAAAGCUAUUGCUACUAGUGCAGCUGUCAGUGACGCAAGAAGGCAGUAACCUUAUUAAGGUUGGGAAAAACAAUUCCAGAAGGUACCGCAAUUGAUCUGUAGUCACAGGUUUCCCAGUGUAUCCACAGGGAAACCUGUUUCCAUUCUACUUUCAAUUAGAAUACGUCAAAGGUAAGUUUUGUUUGUGGUUCGACUUGAGAACAGUUAACUUAGUGAGAUUUUCUUUUUGCUCUUUUUCUGAAUAACAGUAGCUAUAACUUGAUUAAAAUAUUUGUCGGAGUGGUAUCAGUUGAUUACACUAACAUAUUGCGCAUUAUGUGCAACAAAGAUAGUUAAAAGGUGAAAAUGUUUGGCAUACCAGAUGAUGUUGGUAAAUCUGUUAGUUUAAGAUGACUCUCCAGUGUAAAUGCUAUGGGGCGCCGUUUGUAAAAUGUUGCACGUUCUCAAAUCCUGCUCAGUUUUUGGUACAGUUUUGAUACAACUUUUCCACGGAUAAUUUUUGGCACUAACACAAAGUUGUUAAAUAUAAAUAUUUCAUAUACAUGUUAAUGUUAAAUGUAAAUGUUAAAUGUAAAUGUAAAUGUAAAUGUAAAUGUAAAUGUGAAAUGUAAAUGUAAAUGUUCAGUCUACAUGUCAGACUUGACGACAGAACAUUCAAAUAUUUACGGUAAUUCAUAGCUUUCAGUCACGUGACUACAAUGGGUACCUUGCGGGCAAAAAGAACAGCUGAACUGCGAAGAUGUCGACCAACAGUGGACAUCUUCGAGCAGUGCAGCCUACUCAAUAACGAUCGCCAUCAAACACAGAUCAUACCACAAUAGCUAGACAGAGAUAUCUAAAAAAAAAAAAAAACAUUUCAGGAACCUGUGAUCCCUUUACUGCACCCGCUGAUAUUUUUUAUUUUUAUAACGUCGUCGAAGUCCCUGACUGAGCUCCAGUUUGGAGAUAUUUACAUCUAACUAAUAGAAAUCCAUCCCCCUACACACCUCAAAAACUGAAAGCCUACAAAAGCACAGAUAGUAAUUUAAUUUUCAGAGGGGGAUGGGUUCAUAACGAUGUCGUCUGGAAGGUGAAAACUAAUAAACAUCUUCAUUAUCAGAGCA